CUACAAAGGAAUUGACGGGGGCCCGCACAAGCGGUGGAGCAUGUGGUUUAAUUCGAUGAUACGCGAGGAACCUUACCUGGGCUCAAAUGUAUGUUGACGUAUUCUGAAAGGGAUACUUCUUCGGACAAUAUACAAGGUGCUGCAUGGUUGUCGUCAGCUCGUGCCGUGAGGUGUCGGGUUAAGUCCCAUAACGAGCGCAACCCCUAUCAUUAGUUGCCAUCAGGUCAAGCUGGGGACUCUAAUGAAACUGCCUACGCAAGUAGUGAGGAAGGUGGGGAUGACGUCAAAUCAUCAUGCCCCUUAUGAUCUGGGCUACACACGUGCUACAAUGGCCGGCACAGCGGGAAGCGAGGCAGUGAUGCCAAGCGGAUCCCUUAAAGCCGGUCUCAGUUCGGAUUGAAGUCUGCAACUCGACUUCAUGAAGCUGGAAUCGCUAGUAAUCGCAGAUCAGCCAAGCUGCGGUGAAUACGUUCCCGGGCCUU
rnacentral:rRNA from 1 species